GAAGCUUUUAAAGUUACCUUAUUUUUAGUUUACAAGACUAAUAUUUUAUUUAAAUUAUAAAAACU
rnacentral:tRNA from 1 species